CACCCAGGAAGGAGGGGCUUAGCUUCGGCCGCCAUUCUGAGGCAGCCACCUCCACCCCCACCCCCACCGCAACAGCCAGCCAAGGCGCUAGGAGUCUCCAGCUGCCGGCCUCAGCUGGUGCACUAGUACCGCAGUCCCAGCACCUUGCCCGGAAUCCCGUCACCCCGCAGGAUGGGGCAGGGACAGGUCAUCUUCAAGCCAAGGGAAGAGCAGGUUCACUGCCACCCGCGAUCCCCUUUUCUUCCUGGAUCUUACAGCCAGGCUAGGGGGCGUCGAACCCAAUGGGGCCUUAGAUCAUUCCUUGUCCGGAACAGAAUCUCUGCGGAACCGCCAGACAGACACACAGCUGCUGCUGCGGAUACUGGCUUCUUGGGGCCAAGACCUCAACAUGCAGGACCUCACAUUUCCAGCGAUGCACACGUUUUUUGAGAACAUCCCGACCUUUCCUCCUCCCCAGGAAGAUGCUGCAGACGUGCCCGCCAUCCCAGGUCUCGAAGAGCUCUUAAGGCAAACCUCCGGCACCCGGGCCACACCCACCGGCCGGCCCACUCUCCUCGCGCAUCCCCCAACCUGCCGGCCUAAGGGGAAUGGUUCCCUUCCCUGGCCACAUGGUAGACCCUUCUCCCAUCCAGCCCUUUCUCCCACACCAUCCCGAAAGAACUAUUCAUCCAUCCUUCCAGAACAGUACCCCGGCAAACGGCAUCUCUCACCUGGGUAUCGAACCCGUUUUCCACCGAGCCGCUCUUCCGCAGCGGGAGCCCCUCCCCCGCUGGCUCCUGCAGCCCCUGCAGCACCUGCGAUUUCAGGGGGAUCUGGCUAGGAUAGGUGGUCUUGCUCACCUCCACCUUGCUUCCCAACUUCAGGUAGCAGGGCUGGGGGCCCGCCCGGGCCGGGGGCACGUGCAGGAUGGGCGCGGCGCUGUGCACGGGUUUGGGCAGUCCCGACUUCAUUUUGGAGGCGACCAGGAUGGCCGGCAUCUUCUCCCGGGGCUUGGGCUUUCCCAGCACGUCCCUGGCAGCGGCGGCGGGGGCGACCGCUAAAGGCAGCGCGGGUAGCAGAGCAGGCGCCGGGCCUUAGCCCACGAGGCGCCCACCACCAGCGGCUAAAAAAAAAAUCCCCAGGUCGGGGAACUCGAAGCAAUCGGGCGAGCGCGCCUUUGGGGUGCCGGGAUGGGAAUGGGGGACUGGCCACGGCGCUCAGCGGGUCCCACCUGGACGGAUGCUGCCGCCGGGUCUCACACCUCUCCUGGGUGGCCUUUCAAGAGCUCUGGGCGCUCAGGGGCUGCCGCCUCUUGCAAAUUUCCUCCUGGGAAACAGAGGCUUGGACGCCCAUAUUAACUUGUCACUGCAUCUCCGAAGUGAGGAGGCCCCUUUGGAAGAGACAGAGGCGGCGGCGACCCACGAGUCCCGUUCCGGAGGCUACGGGUCUGAGCCGGCGAGAGAAAGAGCGAGCAGCCAAGGAAGGAAAGGAGACAGCAGCGAAGGAAGGAGAGAAGAAGGGCGCAAGGGUCCCAAGACGUCUCCACCGAGAGGCAGCUGCCACCCUGCUCGCGAGCACCGCAGUGUCACCCGCGACGCAGCAGAGGUGCGGCAAGAGCCCCCGAAAGGUCUCUCUUGGGGUGACAGUCACCGCUGCCCAGAAGGCCCCCGGACUGAGAGCACCUUAGCGCCUGCGGGUCUGCACAUGCUCCGUGAGCUAGAUAGAGGCAAGGCUGUGGCCGUGGGGCGCGGGCGCCGGGACGCGCGGCUGGCGGGCCGGGCAGGGCUGCGCUCGGGAGCGGCCGCCGCGCUUCCCGGGAAGGCUGCGCUGGCUGCGGGGCUCAGCGCAGGGGAGGACAGGCUGCUGCCGGCGCUGCUGCGGCGCGCGCUGACAGCCGGGGCCGCCCCGGCGCGCCCAUUGGUCCACGGUGCGCCAAUCAGCGGCCGCGGGUCUCACUGCAAAGAGGGUGUGGCCUAAACUCUGGCCGCCGCCGAAACUCUGGGGCCGCGCUUGGCCGCGAGUACAAAGCGGGCUGGUGGCCGCUUUGCGGCACUGCCCCGGCCGCGCGCCUCCCGGGGGGCCCACACCCCUGCGUUCCUGAAACCCUUCUUUUGAAAAAUGCCCUUUCGAACGCAACCGUCCGCCCCAGAGCCACGCGGGCACGGCUCGAGGGAAGUUUGUUUCCUUUUUCAAAUUGCUCCGGUCACCUUAACGGUUUGAGUCUUCCGGAGUCACGCCCGCAGCCUCGCUGCCCCCAUCUGGCUUGGGCAGGGCCGAAGCUCGUCUCCCGCUUUAAGAGCGCGCCAGCCAUUUCUCUGCCUGCUCUUCCAGGCCGGCUGGGCGGGGGGCCUCCCAACGGCUUCCUCUCCAGUUUUCAAAGGCUGCACAUUUCACUUAACUAUUUGAAGUAUUUAUAGGCAAAUACAAUACGCAGGGAAGCUUCCCGCCCCGAGACAGCUCCUCCACGCAACCUACCACAGACUCUGUAAUUAGAGUGGCCUGAAGAAGCCGGGAGAGGCUCCAUGACCCCGGCAGGCUCUGGCCAAACCUUGCUGCGUUUCAUGGAGCCCCUCCCUGUCCGCGCCUGGGACGCACUGGCCCCAACAGGUUCCUCGACUCGAAUUCGCUGUUUGGGUUGCUCUGUGGUUUCCUCGCUGACUGAAAGUGGAUGAGAAUAAGAAGGAAACUGAGAGAUGAUCAGGCAGGCCAGCCUUCGCGAUUUAUGAAUGAGGAGCCUCCCACCCUGUAGAACUGCUUGGAUUAGAAGUGGGCAAGUUAUUUAAGCUUACAUGCAUGCUUAUAAAGCUUCUGUUUUCACAUGUAGUAAGGUGGAGGCUUGACGACAUUUACCUAAUGAGCUGUUGUUUGGAUUAAAUGAGAUGGUUGGUGCAUGGCAGUCAUUUAGCACAAGUACCUGGCAAUGUAAGAGACCAAUAAAAGCUGGGCUUUAUUUUCCCUGUUGUUAAAUUACUGCUGCUUUCCCCCAAAGUCAUCUCUGUUUAUAAACUAUUUGUCUUUCUUCUUUGUUUCCAGGACACUUUGUGCCCACCCUAUAGCCUGAUCUUCAGUGCUGAUAGCAUUGAUUUAGAAUAACUCAGAUGCUAUUAACUCUGUCCCCCUGGAAUUCAUGUUAAACCCGUAAUCCCCAGUGUGAUGGUAUUAGGAGGUGGGGAACUUUAGGAGGUAAUAAGGUCAAGACAGUGGAGCCCUCAUGAUAGGAUUAGCACUCUUAUUAGAAGAGACAGGAGAGAGAUGCUUUCUUACUGCCUUGUGAGGACACAGAAGGCAGUCUUCUGUGGACCAGGAAGAGGGCCCUUACCAAGAAUCUGAUACCGUGUUGGCAUCCUAGUCUCAGACUUCCAGCCUCUAGUACUGUAAGAAAUAAAUGUUUGUUGUUUAAGCCAUCCUGUUUAUGGUAUUUUUGUUAUAGUGGCCCAAAGUGACAAAGAUCUCAGACCAGAGGAAACAUCAAAGUCUUAACCUCUGAAGCAUUAAGAAAUGAGAAGGCACCUUCUUAGCCAUUCUAGGUAGCAACUUUCUACUCUAGUUAGGCUGAAAUGCACGGCCCUGUCUAUGUCUGUUUCAGUUAUCCUCCCUCUCUCUGAAAUCAAGUCACACAUCAUUCAUGCUACUUACUUAACACUUUGCCCUUUGCCAUCUGAUGCCACCUCCCGUACUAUUGUCUCCCAUUAUUUAACCUGUUAUUUAUUGUUUCAUGCAUUCAUUUUCAUCUUAGAGAAUAAACAUCUUGGAAUUAGGA
rnacentral:lncRNA from 1 species